UGUGAGGUUGUUGUAUAUGGUGGCGUUGAAGAUCCCAGUAGGCACCUUAGCAUCGGCCACAACUAGUUCAUCGGAAAUUAAUUUUGCUCACCGGAGAUAGACGCCGACGUCCUCAUCGGAGCUCAUCUGGUUGUUUUGCAGUUGCAUUUGGAGUUGCAGUAUUUUUGACUCCGACGGUCUCCCAUAUAUGGACUUGAGAGUCUCCCAAAUAUCGACGGUGAAUUCGAGUUCGACGAUCGUCGGAAGCACCUCCUCGGAGAGUGAAGAUAAUAUCCAUCUUACAAGUAGUUGGUCCUUGCGCCACC
rnacentral:lncRNA from 1 species